rnacentral:misc_RNA from 1 species
GGGAGGAGAUGAUUUAGAUCAUGGCUACAGGGGUAGCUACUCAUCAUCGGGUGGCAGAGGAGGAGGAGGCUAUGGGGGAGACAGACCUCUUGGGCAAGAUGAAUGCUUCAAGUGUGGGCGCCUAGGACACUGGGCCCGUGACUGUCCUGCUUCUGGUGGCCGUGGUGGAGGUGGAGGUUCAUUCUCUUCACGUUCUAGGUUCCCUGCUGGUGACCGUGGCGACCGCUUUGGAGGGGAUCGUGAUCGAUACGUGGAUAACCGCUAUGAUGGAGGACGAUAUGGUGAUAGGGACCGUUUUGAUGGCAGAGACAAAUAU